rnacentral:lncRNA from 1 species
UUUUUUUUCUUUUUUUGGUAAAGUUUAUUUUAUUUAUUUAUUUAUUUAUUUUUUGGUAAAGUUUAAAAGAGAAAAGAAAGAGACAUUUCUUAGGAAAAAAAAAGUGAAAAGCAAAGCAAUGCUAGAAAGACCAAAAAAAAUUUAGUAAAAUUGACAAUAAACAAGGCGGUGGUCCCUUCAUGACCUGGCAUAUAAGCCUCUCCAGUGGCCAAUAAGACAAGAGCUCCUCAACCCCUACUGCACCUCUUGGGGCCUAAACUCACAUGGUCUAAGAGCCUCCUGGAUAUAAGGUCCAAGAGAAAUGUUCAGGAAAGGGCAAGGAGAAUUACACAUCGAAACCAGAGAGAGGGUAAAGAUCACAUUUACCAACAGUCCACUUUCAACAAAGGAAGGCAAUGGAAAUUCUUUCCUCUUUGCCUUUUGCUGGGAAAUUCCCCCACUCUGAACCACUGAGCACUACAGUUCAGCAAUAUUAUGGGUUUUGGUAGGUUUCCUGAAAACUUGUCAUUUAUAAAACCAAGAAGAUCCAUUUCAAGCUCUAAUCAACUGCAUCAGAAACAAAUGUUGAAUCAUAUUUGCUCAAACAUGGAAAACUAUUUUGAGGCACUGCUACAUCUGUCUAAUAAGCCUUAUUAAUAAAGCUCUGUGCUAUACAAAAGCAAAAUGGUAAGGCCCAGUUCAAGAGACCAAGUUCCCAAUAUAUAGGACACAGAGAUACAGGGAAUAAUAGAAGUAUGUAUAGGUUGUGAAUAGAGUACAGAAAAGAGCAUGAGGGCUCCAUAUGUAGAACUCUCCACAGCUCCUGGGAUAAAACCACACCACUUGGCCUGGCGUGGCAAACUCCCCAUUAUGGCACUGCCACCAUGCCCAACAUCCUAGCUCAGCAUCUAUCUCCUCUUCCUCAGCUCCCACCCAUAGUUCUCUACGUCUCUGCCACACUGUUUGCUUGUUUGUUAUUUUUCUAAGGGGCUAAACAACUAAUCUAGACAUGAAUAUCAUAUAAAGCACUUGUCAGAAAGCUAGAAACCAUCUGUAACGUGCUUAAUAAGACUAAGUGGAUCCUGGUAUCUGGCAGGUGGGUUCUCCCACCUGGAUCCACAGCCUGUCACAAAUUUCUCAAUCUUGCCCUUCUUUUAUUUAGAAUAAAAGAAGGAGAAGUAAACUGUAAGCACUAGUAUAAAGCACAGAGCACUAAAAUUUGGAGCUGGAUAAUUCUUUGUUUGGAGGGGUUGUGGUUCCUCCACCCGUUGGCUGUGACAACCAAAAAGGUCUCUGGACUUUGGCACAUGUCCCCUGAAUGGUUAAAUCACUCCCCACUUGAGACUAACUGGUCUCAAAUGAAUGAUGACUUACUAAAAUAUAGUAAUAUUUAUAUCCUAACUUCCAUACUAUGCAGAAAGACAACGGUUUGGGUGAAGACCAUCAGAAAGGGCACAGGUGGAGGAGGAAAGCAUAUUUAUUGAGCACCCUCUGUAUUCUUGGGCCUAUGUGAGGUCAGUCAUCGUAUUUAAUACUCACAAAACACACUCUGCUUUUUCUUCCUAAAUCAAAGCUUGCUGAAAACCUUGGGAGGCAAGGAGUGAUGCUGGCAAUGUUAUUACAAGCAAAACUCUUAGAAUAAAAUUAAUAUUUCUAGAACUUUGCACAGACACCUUUUCCUUUUCCUUCACUUGCAACACCCAACUGCUGAACUUCUCAGCCUUGAGAAUGAGCUGUGCUACACAUUCCCA